CCCGUAGGCGGUUUGUCGCGUCGGGAGUGAAAUCCGCGAGCUUAACUGGUGGCUUGCUUUCGAUACGGGCAGACUAGAGGCAUGCAGGGGAGAAUGGAAUUCCUGGUGUAGCGGUGAAAUGCGCAGAUAUCAGGAGGAACACCGGUGGCGAAGGCGGUUCUCUGGGCAUGUCCUGACGCUGAGGAGCGAAAGUGUGGGGAGCGAACA
rnacentral:rRNA from 1 species